rnacentral:rRNA from 1 species
UACGUACGAGGCAAGCGUUAUCCGGAAUUACUGGGCGUAAAAGCGCGCGCAGGCGGACGUUUAAGUAGGGCGUGAAAUCUCCCGGCCUAACUGGGAGGGGUCGCUCUAGACUGGGCGUCUUGAGGACUGCAGAGGUGGGUGGAAUUCCUGGUGUAGUGGUGAAAUGCGUAGAGAUCAGGAGGAACACCGGUGGCGAAGGCGGCCCACCUGG